rnacentral:lncRNA from 1 species
UGGAGACCUGCCGGAUGUAGGUGCUGACGUUCCCCCUCUAGCUUGCAGGGUAGACUCAAGCCCCGCUGGACAGAGGUGAAGAAUUGUGGACAUGGGGCACUUGGCAGGGCUCUGGGUGGGAGAGGUGUGGCUUGGGCCACCUGAUGGCUGACGGUGGACAUUCAGUGCGAGGAUCGUCCCGUGCCCCCCAGGCUCCAGUGCCCACCACCAGCUGAGCCGCACCGGCCCCUGGUGGGCUGGCGACAUGGCACAGGCUGCUCCCACGGUGGCACCAAGAAUGGAGCAGGGGCUGACAAGCCAGCAGAGCAGCAGCACGCAGACUGACUGACCACAGGAAAAGGCCGGACGCGAAGCACAGCUCCCCAGCUCUGCCUGCACAGUGUGGGCCAAGAGCCUGUGACGGCAUGAACUUCCACCCGCUCCGUUGAUGACGUCGUCACCUCCCGUUCCCCAAGCCCACGGUCGUCAGAAGCUGGAUGCCGUGUCUUCACUGGCACUGAGCUCUGCCCAGGUCUUUGCCACAGGUGUGUCACAUCAGCGACUCUUGGCUGCCGUGAGCGAGGUGGCCCCAGCAACAGAACUGAGCCGUGUCCAGCUCUGGGGGCAGGAGGCUCAAGGGUAACCUCCCAUCCUGUGGCCAAGAGUAGUCAGCAGACGCUUCCUAAGGGACAUCAUUGUGUGUGCCCAAGCCCAGCAGCACACGUGGCUGAGAAGUUCCACAUGGGGCUGGACAGUGGGGUCACCAGUAUCACAGAGUCACAGGCUGCUGGCAGGAAGGGCUGAUGGUGGUCCUUGGGAUCCAGGCGUGGUGAGCAAAUGGCCCCCAAUGUCCAUACCCAAAUUCCUGGAUUUCAAGAGUGUUGUGUUGUGUGAGGGAUGACCUUGGUAUAAUCAAGAUGGGGCACCUUAAAAUAGGCAGUUAUCCUGGACUACCUAGAGGGCCCCGUCCGACCACAUGAGCCUUGAGGGCAGAGAAGUUUCCUGGCUGGAAGCGACAGAAGUGAGGCAGGGGGUCAGCAAGAGCUGAGGCCAAGAGCCCAGCCCACUCUGCUGGCUUUGAAGGUGGAGGGGCCAGAACACGUGGUGUCCCUCAUGCUGAGAAGGAGCCCCAGCUGAUGGACAGGGAGCACACAGAGCCUCUCCCACCACCACAGCCUGAGUGAGCAUCCUGCCGAGAACCAGCUGACUGGCUCCGUAUUUCAAACCAGAGCAGGAAACCCAUGAGGCCAGUCCAAGAGCUGACUGCAGAUGGGGACAGUACAUUUGUGCUGUCUCUGUUGCUAGACGGAUGCUAACUUGCUACAGCAGCAACAGUGAGCACUAGGUGUCCACUGCCUUUAGUACCAGAGGUGAGGUCGGCUUUAACGUCCCUCCCGGCACCCUCACUGACACUUCUGCAGGGCCUGGGGUCAGGCGGGCAGCACGUGCCUCGUGGUCUGCUCCAGGACUGAGCUCCUGUUUCUACUUGGUGUCUUGUGGAGUGCUGGCUAUUGGACUGGUGGCACUGGCCCUCUGCUUUUGCCCAGCAAGGAACAUGCUAGGAAGGCCUGCCACAGGACAAGCCACCUGUGGUGGGCCCAUGUCACCUCUCUGUAGACCAGUGGGCAGCCUGCCCCUGCCCAGUGGGCCUAGCCAGGACCAGCCCUGCCUGAUGCUCCAGAGCUGGAGCAGCAAGCACCCCUACGUGUCACCAAGGUCUGGACAUCACUUGUCUCGUGUCACCAUGGUGGCACCAGGUCAGGCACAGUGGCCUGAAGGGAUUUGGGUCCGGCCGUCAGUGGCUGUACUCUUCUGGCUUUCUCCCGCCCCAGCCGACGUUCCAACCUCAGUUAGCAGGCUCCUCUCUCCUCCUCCC